AAUCACAGUCGCAUUGUCGCAUAUGCAUGACACAUGACGUCGUAACUUUCAUAAGUUACUUCAAAACCAAUUUAAAAGUAAAAAAAACGGAGAUCGGAUAAUGAGUUAACUGUUUUUAAAUAAUUUCAGCUGAAGUUUUCGUGUACCUGGCCAACGGUACGUAGGUGCUCGUGACAGUAGAAAUAAAAUGGUCUAAUAAAAAAGUGCAAAUUCGCAAUGCUCGCAUGCUAUGUCUUCGGAAGCUAAAUAAUUUCUGCUUCAAGAUUUUGUAAAUCUUCAAGAUAUUGAUGCCUUCCCCAGAACCAAUUCCUUGCUGCUAUCUAUGUUGCAGACAACAGCAAGUCAAUGUUUCUACUCAAGAUUUUGUGGUAAUCAUCACUUAGUUCUAAUUUAGGACAAUGUAAGAUUUGAGGUUAAUCCCUCUCCGCUAUUAUAGUUGUUUGGAAACUGACAAGAGAUUGCUGGAAUUGAAGACUGAUAUAAUUUGUGUAGAUGUAGAUAAAUUACAAGUGCAUAUCUGGGCUUCCUUCUUUUCUGUGGCCCUGUUUCCCUAACUAACCACCAAACAAUCACCUGUUGUGAAAACCAUGAGGAGGGGAGGGCUCUGGUCAAACGGGGACUUGGAAGGUGCAUGAUCUGAUGAAAACUUUUGGAGGAUCAUGAGUCUAACCAGGAAUCCAACUAUGACUAUAUCUUCCCAGUAAAACUGGCCUCAUACUUCUCUCUUCUUCCUUGUCCUGGUAAUUUCCCUGGGCAAAGUCAAUCAAGGCAUUGUCUCCCCCUGUCUUGAUUGAUUGCAUGUAUGAGUUAUGGCUAUCUUAAACUCACAAUUAUUUUUUUUUAAACAGUUAUUUUCUAAGCUAUCAAACAUAGAAUCGCGAUUUGCACCAGUAGACAAGGUAUAGGGGUUUUGGUUUGCGGUAGGGUUGCAUCAGUAGAUAAGGUGCAAAACUAAAUUCAAGCAGUGAAAAUCCGUAAAAAUUAACCUUCGCUUUCUGUCUUAUCGGUUGGUGUGUUUGUUUCAAAAUUCGCCACUAAAAAUAUGUUUGAACGGAGGUUUUGUUAAUAAAAUUAAGUGUUUAA